UACCCACCUCUGUAAAUAAAGAAGGAUAAAUAAGUCUUUUUACUCUCAUUUUAUGUCUCUCUCAUCCCAAAACAAGAAAAACAAAAAAAGCAAAAGAAAACAAGAUCAAACUAAGAAAUAAACCCAGAAUUCCUCAAACUAAGAAAUAAACCCAGAUUUCCUCAAACUAAGAAACCCAUCAUACAGAAAAAACCAAUAAAUUGACUUGCCCCUUGAGCCAAAAAGCCAAUUCAAUCUAACUAGCCCCCUGAAAUAGAAAUAUUCGAAGUAAACCCAGCCAUUCAUACCAACAAAUAACAAAAACCCAGUAAAAACCAUUCAAAAAACAUAAGCACCUAAGAAAAGUCUCAGCAACCCAUCCUUUCCUUCAUAUUCAUGACUCAUUGGAACACAACAACAAGCCCACCCAACAAACUCCAAACAGCAAAUCUACCCAACAAAAUCCCGGCAUACCCAUUCGUUGCCGUGACUCAUCAAAACGCUAAACCCAAGUCCAAAGACAACCCAACCUCCCUUUCAAGUUGAAGCAAGUGGCAAAGAAGAGUGGAUUUGCUUAUUUUUCUCUUUUGACUCAGAAUCUCUAUUUUAGAUCCUUUGUGUCGAAUAUAUACACAUAAAUUUUACACCUUUACUACAUAAACAUUGAUGGGUAUUGGGUGUUUUUGUGUUUGGUGAUUUGGAAUCGUAUUGGGUCCUAUUAGAUCCUUCCCAAAUGUAAAUUUUUGGGGUUUUGGUUUAUAAAAUUUUUCUGGGUUUUUAAAGUUUUGGUGUUUUUAUGAUUGGCGUCAGUGAAAAAUGGCUUCAGAUCCAAAGGUUCACGUUUUUGAAGAUGUGUCAAAGUACAAGAAGACCAAGGAUUGUUGGCUUAUAAUUUCUAGGAAGCCGCAGGAUCAGCAAUCCCGGAGAAAGCUUCUACCCAAAGAUUGAAAGUAUCACGACAUCCUUUACCGUAAUCAACGAUUGCUACCACAGUAUGAUCACUAGUCACGCAAGGAUGUGGUGCAGCAUUUGGCCCCAAUGCAACUGAUAUCAUACAAUCUCCCACAUUCUACUCAGUUUUCCCAUAAGGCUUCGCCUACUGCACCUAUAAGGUCCAUAUCUGUUGGAUAUCUUUGGCAUGCAUUAGCUGCCAACAGAAAAUGAACAUCAAAAAUUUUGAGAAUUUUCUUUUGUACUUAAUAAGUUAUACACAAUAAAUGUUUGUCAAAAAUGGAGAGAGUAUAAUAAAUAACUUAUUGUGUUA